rnacentral:rRNA from 1 species
UGAUGCAGCAACGCCGCGUGAGGUAUGAAGGCCUUUGGGUUGUAAGCCUCUGUCCUAGGGGAAGAAAAAAAUGACGGUACCCGAGGAGGAAGCCCCGGCUAACUACGUGCCAGCAGCCGCGGUAAUACGUAGGGGGCAAGCGUUAUCCGGAAUUAUUGGGCGUAAAGAGUGCGUAGGUGGUCUACUAAGCGCGAGGUGAAAGGCAAUGGCUCAACCAUUGUUAGUCUUGCGAACUGGCAGACUUGAGUGCAAGAGAGGAAAGCGGAAUUCCUAGUGUAGCGGUGAAAUGCGCAGAUAUUAGGAGGAACACCGGCGGCGAAGGCGGCUUUCUGGAUUGUAACUGACACUGAGGCACGAAAGCGUGGGUAGCAAACAGGAUUAGAUACCCUGGUAGUCCACGCCGUAAACGAUGAGCACUAGGUGUCGGGACAUGAGUCUCGGUGCCGCAGUUAACGCAAUAAGUGCUCCGCCUGGGGGAGUACGCACGCAAGUGUAAAACUCAAAGGAAUUGACGGGGACCCGCACAAGCAGCGGAGCAUGUGG